GCCAAGACUAUUCUCAGGAAAUGGCACCAGAGAAAUUGUGGAAAUGCUAAGCAAUUGUUGAGGCAAUCUUUUUAUUUUUACUCCUUUUCAUUUAGGAUUGGCUUUACAAAUGUACCGUGAGUUUGGUUCAAAACACCUUGUUGAAACAUUGAAUGCCAAUGGAUUUUAUGCUUCUUAAAAUAAAGUGCGACGCUAUCUAAUGUGUUGCCAACCAUGAAAUUGAGCGAAUUCAAGAUAGUGUGUACUUCUCGUAUGAUGUUUCCCCAGCAUCUUUGCAGACAAGCAUAUGGAU
rnacentral:lncRNA from 1 species